GCUCCCUACAACUCCGCCUGUCACAGAGCAGGAGGAACACGUGAACUAUUAGAGAGACCAACGUGAAAAAGUACGCUUCCUCUCCGACUAACGCAGACCCGAAUCGAUGCAUCUGCGUUCUCACAGUCAGAGAGCAGGACAAUGGCACGUUUAAAAAGGAGGAAGGAAAAUCAUUUGGAGGAUAAAAGUCAGACUGUGCAUCGCUGUGAAUCGUUACUCCUGCUGAUGUCUCAUCGGGUUCCUGGACGGACAUGGAAGAAGUGGUCAGGACCCGGAUUCAGAACGGAGGCUGAGCAAAAGCCCUGCAAGAAACCCUGCGAAUUCUGUUGCAGGUCCCUCGUUCUCCCUGGAGCUCACUGACAACUCGGACUCGGCUGCCUUCUAGCCACUGAUGGUCCUGAGAUUUCCUGACAAUCUGCCAGCAAAUACAGGACAUAGUUACACACAAGUGCAAAAAUAAAUUGAUAUAUGUAUAUUUAUAUAUAUAAAAAAAAAAACAUUGUGCCGUAAGAACAAAAAUCACAAAGGACGGAGGAGGGAGGGAUGCAGUUUGGCAUAUGCCAGGGCUGUUUGAGUGUCUUGCUUUCACUGCUUCACUGAACUGGCAUUUGGAACGGACACACGCAGGGCAAAGGUCAGAACUGUUGCAACAGGAAGCAAAUUUGAUGGACUCCAUGGAAAUAAGGCACAUUCCUGCGAUGGCGAGAAGAGAGAAGUAAGUUAGAAGAGGAUUGGAAGGAGGAUGGGAGGAAAAUACAAUAAUAACCCAAGAAAGGAAGCACACUGCUGUGAGCACUUAUGAUCUGCCUGAAGCGCUAAAAUAUGGAUUACUGGUGUAUAUUAUUGCCAGAUCAGGGUUUCCAUCAGUGUAUUAUAGGCCUGGCAGCCCGCUAUCCUUUAUAGCGCCACCGCCAGGCUAAGCCUUUCUUGUUUAUGUUUUUAG